rnacentral:rRNA from 1 species
AUUGAACGCUGGCGGAAUGCUUUACACAUGCAAGUCGAGCGGCAGCGCGGGGCAACCUGGCGGCGAGCGGCGAACGGGUGAGUAAUGCAUCGGAACAUGUCCAGUCGUGGGGGAUAGCCCGCCGAAAGGCGGAUUAAUACCGCAUACGCCCGGGAGGGGAAAGCGGGGGACCUGCAAGGGCCUCGCGCGAUUGGGUUGGCCGAUGUCCGAUUAGCUAGUUGGUGGGGUAAAGGCCCACCAAGGCGAUGAUCGGUAGCUGGUCUGAGAGGAUGAUCAGCCACACUGGGACUGAGACACGGCCCAGACUCCUACGGGAGGCAGCAGUGGGGAAUUUUGGACAGUGGGGGCAACCCUGAUCCAGCCAUUCCGCGUGCAGGAAGAAGGCCUUCGGGUUGUAAACUGCUUUUGUACGGAACGAAACGGCCUGGGUUAAUACCCUGGGCUAAUGACGGUACCGUAAGAAUAAGCACCGGCUAACCACGUGCCAGCCGCCGCAGUAA